AACGUAGGAGACAAACGUUAUCCGGAGUUACUGGGCGUAAAGGGCGUGUAGGCGGUUCGUUAAGUCUGGCGUGAAAGCUCUCGGCUAAACCGGGAGAGGUCGUUGGAUACUGGCAAACUAGAGGACGGUAGAGGCGUGUGGAAUUCCGGGUGUAGUGGUGGAAUGCGUAGAGAUCCGGAGGAACACCAGCGGCGAAGGCGGCAUCCUGGACUGGUCCUGACACUCAGGAGCGAAAGCGUGGGGAGCGAUCCGG
rnacentral:rRNA from 1 species